rnacentral:ncRNA from 1 species
AAGAGCCGUAUGAUGGGAGACUAUAAUAUACGGUUCCGUGAGAGGCUCGGUUCCCCCCUGUCUACUUUAC